CUCAGUAACACGUGGAUAACCUGCCCUUAGGAUUGGCAUAACACCGGGAAACUGGUGAUAAUACCGAAUAGACCAUUUAUGCUGGAAUGCUUUUUGGUUCAAAGGCUUCGGCUGCCUAAGGAUGGAUCUGCGGCCUAUCAGGUAGUAGUGGGUGUAAUGUACCUACUAGCCUACGACGGGUACGGGUUGCGAGAGCAAGAGCCCGGAGAUGGAUUCUGAGACAUAAAUCCAGACCCUACGGGGUGCAGCAGGCGCGAAAUCUUUACAAUGCGGGAAACCGCGAUAAGGGGACACUGAGUGCCAGCAUAUUAUGUUGGCUGUCCACAUGUCUAAAAACCAUGUGUUAGCAAGGGCCGGGCAAGACCGGUGCCAGCCGCCGCGGUAACACCGGCGGCCCGAGUGGUGAUCACUUUUAUUGGGUCUAAAGGGUCCGUAGCCGGUUUAAUCAGUCUUCUGGGAAAUCUGACAGCUCAACUGUUAGGCUUUCAGGGGAUACUGUUAAGCUUGGGACCGGGAGAGGUAAGAGGUACUACAGGGGUAGGAGUGAAAUCUUGUAAUCCCUGUGGGACCGCCGGUGGCGAAGGCGUCUUACCAGAACGGGUCCGACGGUGAGGGACGAAAGCUGGGGGCACGAACCGGAUUAGAUACCCGGGUAGUCCCAGCCGUAAACGAUGUUCGCUAAGUGUCAGGGACGGUGCGACCGUUUCUGGUGCCGUAGGGAAGCCGUGAAGCGAACCACCUGGGAAGUACGGCCGCAAGGCUGAAACUAAAG
rnacentral:rRNA from 1 species